rnacentral:rRNA from 1 species
CGAAAGCGAAGGCGAUCUGCUGGAACAUUACUGACGCUGAGGCGUGAAAGCGUGGGGAGCAAACGGGAUUAGAUACCCCGGUAGUCCACGCCCUAAACGAUGAAUGCCAGUCGUCGGUGAGCUAGUCUCAUCGGUGAUGCACUUAACAGAUUAAGCAGUCCGCCUGGGGAGUACGGUCGCAAGAUUAAAACUCAAAGGAAUAGACGGGGACCCGCACAAGUGGUGGAGCAUGUGGUUUAAUUCGAAGAUACGCGAAGAACCUUACCUGGCCUUGACAUUGAUAGAAUUCGGCAGAGAUGCUGGAGUGCCUUUCGGGGAACUAGAAAACAGGUGCUGCACGGCUGUCGUCAGCUCGUGUCGUGAGAUGUUGGGUUAAGUCCCGCAACGAGCGCAACCCUCGUCGUUAGUUGCUAACAGUUUGGCUGAGCACUCUAGCGAGACUGCCUUCGCAAGGAGGAGGAAGGUGAGGACGACGUCAAGUCAUCAUGGCCCUUACGGCCAGGGCUACACACGUGCUACAAUGGGGCGUACAGAGAGUUGCGAUACCGCGAGGUGGAGCCAAUCUCAUAAAGCGUCUCUCAGUUCGGAUUGUUCUCUGCAACUCGAGAACAUGAAGCUGGAAUCACUAGUAAUCGUAGAUCAGCACUGCUACGGUGAAUACGUUCCCGGGUCUUGUACUCACCGCCCGUCACACCAUGGGAGUUGAUUUCACCCGAAAUCGGGAUGCCAAACCGGCUACCGCUUACGGUGGAAUUAGCGACUGGGGUGAAGUCGUAACAAGGUA